GUCUACGGCCAUACCACCCUGAAACGCGCCCGAUCUCGUCCGAUCUCGGAAGCUAAGCAGGGUCGGGCCGGGUUAGUACUUGGAUGGAAGACUGCCUGGGAAUACCGGCUGCUGUAGGCU
rnacentral:rRNA from 1 species